rnacentral:tRNA from 1 species
GGGACAGUAGCUCAACCCGGGAGAGCAACCGAAGCUUUUGACCGGUGUGUUGUGGGUUCAAAUCCCACCUGUCCCA